GACGAACCGUGCGAACGUUGUUCGGAAUCACUGGGCUUAAAGGGCGCGUAGGCGGACACGCAAGUCGGUGGUGAAAUCCCCCGGCUCAACCGGGGAAUUGCGCCUGAUACUGGCGGGCUAGAGAUCGUUAGGGGUGAGCGGAACUCCAGGUGGAGCGGUGAAAUGCGUAGAUAUCUGGAGGAACACCGGUGGCGAAAGCGGCUCACUGGAUCGAAACUGACGCUGAGGUGCGAAAGCUAGGGUAGCAAACGGG
rnacentral:rRNA from 1 species